rnacentral:rRNA from 1 species
GAGACGUUGCCCUUCGGGGUAUACCUCCCACCCAUUGUUUAUUAUACCUUUGUUGCUUUGGCAGACCCGGCUUCGGCCCACCGGCUCCGGCUGGUCAGUGUCUGCCAGAGGACCUAAAACUCUGUUUGUUAAUAUUGUCUGAGUACUAUAUAAUAGUUAAAACUUUCAACAACGGAUCUCUUGGUUCUGGCAUCGAUGAAGAACGCAGCGAAAUGCGAUAAGUAAUGUGAAUUGCAGAAUUCAGUGAAUCAUCGAAUCUUUGAACGCACAUUGCGCCCUCUGGUAUUCCGGGGGGCAUGCCUGUUCGAGCGUCAUUACAACCCUCAAGCUUUGCUUGGUAUUGGACAUUGCCAGUUUCUGGCAGGUCUUAAAAUCAGUGGCGGUGCCAUUUGGCUUCAAGCGUAGUAAUUCUUCUCGCUUUGGAGAUCCAGGUGGUUACUUGCCAAUAACCCCCAAU